CGGACGGGUGAGUAAUGCCUAGGAAUCUGCCUGGUAGUGGGGGACAACGUUUCGAAAGGAACGCUAAUACCGCAUACGUCCUACGGGAGAAAGCAGGGGACCUUCGGGCCUUGCGCUAUCAGAUGAGCCUAGGUCGGAUUAGCUAGUUGGUGAGGUAAUGGCUCACCAAGGCGACGAUCCGUAACUGGUCUGAGAGGAUGAUCAGUCACACUGGAACUGAGACACGGUCCAG
rnacentral:rRNA from 1 species